rnacentral:rRNA from 1 species
UCAAGUUAUUAAGGGUGCAGGGCGAAUGCCUUGGCACUAGGAGCCGAUGAAGGACGUGAUAAGCUGCGAUAAGCUUCGGGGAGUUGCACGUAAACUUUGAUCCGAAGAUUUCCGAAUGAGGAAACUCACUUAGAGUAAUGUCUAAGUAUCGUAUGAUGAAUACAUAGUCAUGCGAGGGGAACCCGGAGAACUGAAACAUCUAAGUACCCGGAGGAAGAGAAAGAAAUUCGAUUCCGUAAGUAGCGGCGAGCGAACGCGGAACAGGCCAAACCAGUGAAGUUUUCUUCGCUGGGGUUGCGGACAUAUCAUAACGAAGAGGUAUCGUAGAAGAAGAGAGUUGGAAAGCUCCGCCACAGAUGGUAACAGCCCAGUAUUUUAAACGAGAAGACUUUAGAUAUGAUCCAGAGUACCACGGGACACGUGAAACCCUGUGGGAAGCAGGAGGGACCAUCCUCCAAGCCUAAAUACUACCUAGUGACCGAUAGCGUAUAGUACCGUGAGGGAAAGGUGAAAAGAACCCCGGGAGGGGAGUGAAAGAGAACCUGAAACCCUGCACUUACAAGCUGUAGGAGCACAUUAUUUGUGUGACUGCGUACUUUUUGUAGAACGGGCCAACGAGUUACGUUGUGUAGCAAGGUUAAGCACUUAAGGUGUGGAGCCGUAGCGAAAGCGAGUCUUAAAUGGGCGUCCAGUUACCCGACGUAGACCCGAAACCAGGCGACCUAUCCAUGAGCAGGUUGAAGCGAAAGUAAAAUUUCGUGGAGGACCGAACCCACGUACGUUGAAAAGUGCGGGGAUGACUUGUGGAUAGCGGUGAAAUUCCAAUCGAGCCUGGAGAUAGCUGGUUCUCCCCGAAAUAGCUUUAGGGCUAGCCUCAAGCUUAGAGAAACGGAGGUAGAGCACUGAAUGUCCUAGGGGGUAUUGCACUUACCGAAGACUAUCAAACUCCGAAUGCCGUAUUCUUUUGCUUGGGAGUCAGACUAUGGGUGAUAAGAUUCAUAGUCAAGAGGGCAACAGCCCAGAUCGUCAGCUAAGGUCCCUAAAUGUAAGUUAAGUGGUAAAGGAUGUGGAAUUGCACAGACAACCAGGAUGUUGGCUUAGAAGCAGCCACUCAUUUAAAGAGUGCGUAAUAGCUCACUGGUCGAGUGAUUCUGCGCCGAAAAUUUCCGGGGCUAAAACUUACUACCGAAGCUACGGCAUCAUUAUGAUGGGUAGGGGAGCUUUCUAUGUGGCUUGAAGCAUGACCGUAAGGACAUGUGGACUGCAUAGAAGUGAGAAUGUUGGCAUGAGUAGCGAGAUGUGGGUGAGAAUCCCACAGGCCGUAAACCCAAGGUUUCCAGGGGAAGGUUCGUCCGCCCUGGGUUAGUCAGGACCUAAGCCGAGGCCGAAAGGCGUAGGUGAUGGACAACAGGUUGAUAUUCCUGUACCACCAAUAACCGUUUGAGAAAUGGGAUGACACAGUAGGAUAAGCUAACCGCACUGUUGGUUAUGUGCGGGCAAGUAUUGAGGCAGUUCCGAUAGGCAAAUCCGUCGGAAUAAUGCUGGGGUACGAUGCGGAGCGAAAUUAAGUAGCGAAGUAGCUGAUUUCACACUGUCGAGAAAAGUCUCUAUCGAGGUUAAAGGUGCCUGUACCGCAAACCGACACAGGUGGGUGAGGAGAGUAUCCUAAGGCCAGCGAGAGAACUGUUGUUAAGGAACUCGGCAAAAUGACCCCGUAACUUAGGGAGAAGGGGUGCCUUCGAAAGAAGGCCGCAGAGAAUAGGCCCAAGCGACUGUUUACCAAAAACAUAGGUUUCUGCUAAGUCGCAAGACGAUGUAUAGGAGCUGACGCCUGCCCGGUGCUGGAAGGUUAAGGGGAUCUGUUAGAGCAAUCGAAGCAGUGAACUUAAGCCCCAGUAAACGGCGGCCGUAACUAUAACGGUCCUAAGGUAGCGAAAUUCCUUGUCGGGUAAGUUCCGACCCGC